rnacentral:rRNA from 1 species
UGGGGAAUUUUGGACAAUGGGGGAAACCCUGAUCCAGCCAUCCCGCGUGUGCGAUGAAGGCCUUCGGGUUGUAAAGCACUUUUGGCAGGAAAGAAACGUCGCGGGUUAAUACCCCGCGAAACUGACGGUACCUGCAGAAUAAGCACCGGCUAACUACGUGCCAGCAGCCGCGGUAAUACGUAGGGUGCAAGCGUUAAUCGGAAUUACUGGGCGUAAAGCGUGCGCAGGCGGUUCGGAAAGAAAGAUGUGAAAUCCCAGAGCUUAACUUUGGAACUGCAUUUUUAACUACCGGGCUAGAGUGUGUCAGAGGGAGGUGGAAUUCCGCGUGUAGCAGUGAAAUGCGUAGAUAUGCGGAGGAACACCGAUGGCGAAGGCAGCCUCCUGGGAUAACACUGACGCUCAUGCACGAAAGCGUGGGGAGCAAACAGGAUUAGAUACCCUGGUAGUCCACGCCCUAAACGAUGUCAACUAGCUGUUGGGGCCUUCGGGCCUUGGUAGCGCAGCUAACGCAUUAAACA